UGGAGAUGUGGCUGAGUGGUCGAAAGCGCUCCCCUGCUAAGGGAGUAGCCGUGGAAACGUGGCUCGCGGGUUCAAAUCCCGCCAUCUCCGCCCA
rnacentral:tRNA from 1 species